UACAGAGGGUGCAAGCGUUAAUCGGAAUUACUGGGCGUAAAGCGCGCGUAGGCGGUUGUGUAGGUUGGAGGUGAAAUCCCCGGGCUCAACCUGGGCAUUGCCUUCAAAACUGCACGGCUAGAGUAUGGGAGAGGAAGGUAGAAUUCCAGGUGUAGCGGUGAAAUGCGUAGAGAUCUGGAGGAAUACCGAUGGCGAAGGCAGCCUUCUGGCCUAAUACUGACGCUGAGGUGCGAAAGCAUGGGGAGCAAACAGG
rnacentral:misc_RNA from 1 species